GAAUAGAACAACGUUUUAUUAAUAUAUUUAUAGAAUACACAUCAACGAAAUUAAGUUAUUUAUUGUAAGCCUUUUCCAGUCAAUGCGAUUUUACUGAUUAUAAUUAAAUGUUUAAUGAUAAAUAUUCUUUUUAUUAAUUCAGUUUGCGUUCAGUGGCGAGUUUGUAUGCACAACGAAAAGAGCCCUUAGAGCGACGUUUGUAUCCGACGGAAGCGGAUAUGGGCGAAACAUUGACCGAUCGUUUUAUGAUCAGGCGACAGCUAAGCUCGUGGGGCAGGGAGGACUGAUGACUGACGAACGCAAGCUUGGUCUGGCCACCUGGUCGCUAAGCAUCGGAUACCUAAUCCUCUGCACAAGUCCUUUUCCAGGACAAGAGCACUAAUAGACCUUACGUAGGUAUACGCAAUGUUCUCUAUCUCCCAUUUAUGUAUUCUAGUUAUCAUCCGUAAAAUAAUCAUAGUUUAGAAGGCAAGGGUACAAAAAGAUCGGAGUCCGGGCUGGACUUCGGUAGAUCUCUUCUGCCCGGAUUUUUCUACGCUAUGGUAACAACGUCCUGCUUUCAUUCACAGUGUCGCAAUCGAUCUCUUUGUAUGCCCAGAUAUGCAGCCACGAUCCAAAUUAUUUGUCCAUAAAGGGUCUCAACCGUCAUUGGUUUCUUCUGUUGCCGCUGUUACUGCUACAUACAGUUUCGUACAGAUCAAUAAGUUUAACCUUGUAAAAUGUCAUUAAUUUGCUCUUUCAGAAAGCUGUUAGCCUAUAGAGCGAGCCAACACAAUAAAAACCGAAAUACGAACGGCAUCCCAAAAUA